rnacentral:lncRNA from 1 species
GCUCCUGCACGCACUGCUCCUCGAACUCAUGCAGCCUCUUUAGCUCCUCGUCGCUAAGGAAGAGCUCUGUGUGAAGGGAGAAGUGUCGGCCACGUGAAAAACAAGAAGAAUCACGGCCGCUGAGACGCAUAAUGAUGAUGUAGAUGUGGCUUAAAAUGAUCAUCGGUGGGGGCAGGACUGGCCUGUCAUGAAAUGUCAUAAUCAGCUGAUAUCGCUGGAACUUCCACACCUGGUUGGAUAUUGAUUUUACUUCAAAGAAGGCUCACGAUGUAGGAGAUGACGAUCCACUCCUGGAGGGACGGCCAGCCAUCCAUCCGCACCAGGAUGACGUAGUUAAACAGCAGCAGGUUGACACAUCUAAAAGAAUCUUUGUUUCCAACUGGACUGACUCAUUGAGAGGAAACCUUCACUGCACCUCACCAGUGCAGACAGAAGACCUGGAGGCAGGACGGGAGGCAUUUUAUACUUCAGCACGAUAUGGGCCCUGACUUUUCAUUUUCUACAUGGAGACAUAUUGGUUGGUGCUGUCAUCCUCAUGGGGAAACUAUGAAGUUGCAAACAUUAU